GGUUUGGUAGUUUAAUUAGGUCAAAAUACGUGCCUGUCACGCACGAUGAUACGGGUUCGAUUCCCGUCCAGACCG
rnacentral:tRNA from 1 species